rnacentral:lncRNA from 1 species
CUUGAAUUGUGUUAAAAUUUGUCAUACUUAAGGGCCUUGUUAAAUUUUUUGCUCGCUGUUGAGGGCUCUGUUUCCAACACUUGUAGUUAUUCCUUCAGUCUGAAUGGAUAUAUAAGUAGUCAUACCACAUCUCCUUAUUUUUAUAUUUCAAGAAUUAUUACACGAAAUCAGUUUGGACUUAGAAACCUUCCCCGCAUCAGUAUCCGUAUAACUUUACAAAAACAAAAUUGCUUCCAAUUAUUUUCUAUGAUGUCUAAUAAGCAUAAAAUUGGCGUAAUAUCUCAUGCCAAUUAUUCUUGUGCAUGUAUUGAUAAGCGUUACAAUGAACUUCAAUGAAUUAUUCAUAACAAUAUAAUGCUGUUAGCAAUAUUUUGACAUUUUAUGGAGAUCUUUGACCAGAAACAAAAAUACAGCGUACAAAUUAGAUCCAAUUUCGAUGAUAAAAGUUUCUCCCAUUGAUCCAGAAUUAUUUGUAAUGGCUUAUUAUGCUGGGAUUUUGCCGAUCGUGUGAAAAACAAUGAUGCUGGUAUUUUAUAGAUAAUGAAAUAACGAAAUAUAUUUUUACAUUCGCCACCAUCAUGUUUAACAUUUAGGGAGCUACCAUUUGAUUUUUAUGGGGGGGCUAGGAUGAAAUUUGAAAAAA